GGCGCGGUGUUCCGGCGCUCGGGUGCCGGGCGGCCGUGCCGCGUACGGUAGGCGCGGUGUAUUUUUGGGGUUGGAUUCGUGUUGAUUUCUGGGGGCUUCCAGGUGCGGCCGCUCCCCGAGAAGCGAGACCGUGCUGAGGACGUGGUUGUCUGUCCUUCCCCCGGGGAUGCCGUUGACUGCGGCCGUCUCAGGCUUGCGUGGCUUCUCUCUGCCCGGCGUUGCCAUCCUCGCAGCGCGGGGGCGAAAAGGGACACACAGAGCCCUUCCCGGCUGUGGACAGGAGCUGCCUCGGCUGAAGCUGGAGACGCCAACGAAAGGUGGAGAACGGCCUAGAGUCUGGAGCUGCAGAAGAGGCAGGGCGGAGAGGAGGGGAAAGAAGCAUCUGAACGGCUAAAUUGUGCCAGCAGCGCUGAGAGCGAGAGUCGCGGUGAGUCCUGGGCCACUGGGGCCCCGUUGCCUCUCU